AGAGUGGAGCCGCAGCGGGUGGGCAGUGUCUACACCUAGGUCGGGGAGGCUGGGUGCGCCCUUCUUCGGAUCCCUGGGUCGGCUGGCGAAACCCGCCCAGCCGGUCCAGUCGUCCUCCGAAGCUGGGAGAACAGGGAGGGGCAGACAGGUGGAAGAAGACCAAGGGUGCUGGCACCUGGAUGGAGCACCUAAGGGAAGUGUUCAGAAAGACAUGUUUGUUGAGAGUUCUUACCGUGAAAAAAUAAAAAGAUUUGAUGACUUUUCUAAGAUAAUGAAUUCAGAAGCAUCUGGAGGUUUCAGUGUUUGGCCUCUGAAGGAGGGCUUAUAGGGCUUUUUAUAAGUCCUAAAGCACGUAGGUUCUUUUUGUUAUUCCCAAUUGGUUGCCUUGUAGAUUCCUACUAAAACCCUUAAUGAAAAGGACUAUGCGCUAUGGUUGUUCUAAAGAAAUAGAAGUAAUAGUAGGACUAGAGAAAGCUGCAUGGGACAGAGUAGCACUGUCAGAACACAGAAAGGUGAGUAUCCACUGCUGAGGAGCAGAUCUCUUAUCUAACAUACGAAAUGUCUUCAUUUGACAGACAGGAAGCUGAAAAAAAACUUUGGCAUUUUUAUUCAGACACGUAUAAAAACAAAAC
rnacentral:lncRNA from 1 species